GGGUGUGUGUGUCUGUUGGUAUGCUGCUUUGCCGGGGAUAGAACAGGAAUAGAGUCUUAGAACUUUUAGGUAAACUCUGGGGGCACGAGGAGAAAACUGUGGAGUAGCCAACCAGAAACUCCAGUCAAUAACGGCAGAAGCAACCAAAGCAGGGAUUUUUGGUCCACUGGAGAACUUUCUACAGUUUUGACCAUGCUUUAUCUCUCCUGUGUUGCUCGGCUGUUUGCUCCAACCUUCCUGCUCCCCACUCCUCCCUCAGUCUCUUCACCUCAGAAGAGCAUCUUCCUCCAAUCUUGUCUAUUUAGAUUGUAAGCUUUUCAGGGCAGGAACUGUCUACUGCUCUGUGUUUGUAUGGUACCUAGAUAUAAUGGGGGACUCACUCUUGGUUGGCCCUUAGGCAUGACCGUAAUAAACAUGGUUAAUAAUAUUUUAAA